rnacentral:sRNA from 9 species
GUGGAUAGUUUUUGUACAGAACGCUUGAGAAGUAACGCGGAACGCUUUCAAAGCGAGGAAUUUUAGCAGCUUCUUGCGCCGGGUCCGUUUACUUACUACAAACAAUGGGUACUAUGUACGCCGGUCGUUUUCUCAUUUUCGAGAGA